rnacentral:rRNA from 1 species
CCUACGGGUGGCAGCAGUGAGGAAUAUUGGUCAAUGGACGCAAGUCUGAACCAGCCAUGCCGCGUGCAGGAAGACGGCUCUAUGAGUUGUAAACUGCGUUUGUACGAGGGUAAACGCAGAUACGCGUAUCUGUCUGAAAGUAACGUACGAAUAAGGAACGGCUAACUCCGUGCCAGGAGCCGCGGUAAUACGGAGGAUUCAAGCGUUAUCCGGAUUUAUUGGGGUUAAAGGGGGCGGAGGCGGUCGGCUAAGUUAGAGGUGAAAUCCCUAGGAUCAACUUCGGAAUUGCCUCUGUUACUGUUCGGCUAGAGCGUAGUUGCGGUAGGCGGAAUGUAUGGUGUAGCUGUGCAAUGCUUAGAGAUCAUACAGAACACCGAUUGCGACGGCAGCUUACCAAGCUACUUCUGACGUUGAGGCACGAAAGCGUGUGGAGCAAACAGGAUUAGAUACCCCUGUAGUC